GACGAACGCUGGCGGCGUGCUUAACACAUGCAAGUCGAACGGAAAGGCCCUGCUUUUGUGGGGUGCUCGAGUGGCGAACGGGUGAGUAACACGUGAGUAACCUGCCCUUGACUUUGGGAUAACUUCAGGAAACUGGGGCUAAUACCGGAUAGGAGCUCCUGCUGCAUGGUGGGGGUUGGAAAGUUUCGGCGGUUGGGGAUGGACUCGCGGCUUAUCAGCUUGUUGGUGGGGUAGUGGCUUACCAAGGCUUUGACGGGUAGCCGGCCUGGGAGGGUGACCGGCCACCUUGGGACUGAGAUACGGCCCAGACUCCUACGGGAGGCAGCAGUGGGGAAUAUUGCACAAUGGGCGGAAGCCUGAUGCAGCAACGCCGCGUGCGGGAUGACGGCCUUCGGGUUGUAAACCGAUUUCGCCUGUGACGAAGCGUGAGUGACGGUAAUGGGUAAAGAAGCACCGGCUAACUACGUG
rnacentral:rRNA from 1 species